AUUGAACGCUGGCGGCAGGCCUAACACAUGCAAGUCGAAUGGUAACAGGAAACAGCUUGCUGUUUCGCUGACGAGUGGCGGACGGGUGAGUAAUGUCUGGGAAACUGCCUGAUGGAGGGGGAUAACUACUGGAAACGGUAGCUAAUACCGCAUAACGUCGCAAGACCAAAGAGGGGGACCUUCGGGCCUCUUGCCAUCAGAUGUGCCCAGAUGGGAUUAGCUAGUAGGUGGGGUAACGGCUCACCUAGGCGACGAUCCCCAGCUGGUCUGAGAGGAUGACCAGCCACACUGGAACUGAGACACGGUCCAGACUCCUACGGGAGGCAGCAGUGGGGAAUAUUGCACAAUGGGCGCAAGCCUGAUGCAGCCAUGCCGCGUGUAUGAAGAAGGCCUUCGGGUUGUAAAGUACUUUCAGCGGGGAGGAAGGGAGUAAAGUUAAUACCUUUGCUCAUUGACGUUACCCGCAGAAGAAGCACCGGCUAACUCCGUG
rnacentral:rRNA from 1 species